rnacentral:rRNA from 1 species
UACAGAGGUCUCGAGCGUUAAUCGGAUUCAUUGGGCUUAAAGCGUACGUAGGCGGAUGUGCAGGCAUCGUGUGAAAUCCCCCUGGCUCAACCAGGGAACUGCUCGGUGAACCGCACGUCUUGAGGCAAGUAGAGGCUGUCGGAACGAUAGGUGGAGCGGUGAAAUGCGUAGAUAUCUAUCGGAACGCCGAAGGUGAAAAACAGGGCAGCUGGGGCUUGAUCUGACGCUGAGGUACGAAAGCGUGGGGGAGCGAACGGG